rnacentral:rRNA from 1 species
UUAAGCAUAUCAUUAAGCGGAGGAAAAGAAACUAACAAGGAUUCCCCUAGUAACGGCGAGUGAAGCGGGAAGAGCUCAAGCUUAAAAUCUCCAUACUUGUAUGGCGAAUUGUAGUCUAUUGAGGCUGUUGUCAGCAUCGCGAUUGGGGACAAGUCCCUUGGAAAAGGGCAGCAUGGAGGGUGAUACUCCCGUCUCUGCUCCAAUUUGCGGUGUGUACGAUACGCUUUCUUUGAGUCGAGUUGUUUGGGAAUACAGCUCAAAGUAGGUGGUAAAUUCCAUCUAAAGCUAAAUAUUGGUGCAAGACCGAUAGCGAACAAGUACCGUGAGGGAAAGAUGAAAAGAACUUUGAAAAGAGAGUUAAAGAGUACCUGAAACUGUUGAAAGGGAACCGUAUCGUUUCCAGUGUUUUAUCUCGUGCAUAUUUCAUUCGUGGAGCAAUUUGCGGGUGCCCUGUGCAUGGGUGUGACGUCAGAGUCAGUUUGUAUGCUGCGGGAGAUGGUCAAUGAGGAGGUGCGUCACUUCGGUGAAAGUUAUAUCUCGUUGUCUAGUAGCCGUGGUUGAGACUGAGGUGCCUACAACAUGCCUUAAAGUUCCAUGUUAUCUCGUGUUGGUGACUGCUUUGAUAGCUUGCUAUGUCUGUGGUUUAUCAAUGCGAUUGGUGGUGUGGAUAACUUUUGCUGUUCGGGACUCUGGCGAAAUGGAGCGAUACGACCCGUCUUGA